rnacentral:misc_RNA from 1 species
UACAGAGGGUGCGAGCGUUAAUCGGCUUCACUGUGCGUAAAGUCUGCGUAGGCGACUUUUUAAGUCGGAUGUGAAAUCCCCGAUCUUAACUUGGGAAUUGCAUUCGAUACUGGGAAGCUAGAGUAUGGGAGAGGAUGGUAGAAUUCCAGGUGUAGCGGUGAAAUGCGUAGAGAUCUGGAGGAAUACCGAUGGCGAAGGCAGCCGUCUGGCCUAAUACUGACGCUGAGGUACGAAAGCAUGGGGAGCAAACAGG